UUAUGGCCAUAUCACGUUGAAACAUCGGUUCCUCUACGAUCACCGAAGUUAAGCAACGUCGAGCCUGGCCAGUACCCAUAUGGGUGACUGCUUGGGAAUUCCAGGUGCUGUAAG